GACAUGACUCUCGGCAAUGGAUAUCUCGGCUCUUGCAUCGAUGAAGAGCGCAGCGAAAUGCGAUACGUGGUGCGAAUUGCAGAAUCCCGCGAAC
rnacentral:rRNA from 6 species